GGCUCAGAUUGAACGCUGGCGGCAGGCCUAACACAUGCAAGUCGAGCGGAUGAGAGGAGCUUGCUCCUUAAUUCAGCGGCGGACGGGUGAGUAAUGCCUAGGAAUCUGCCUGGUAGUGGGGGACAACGUUUCGAAAGGAACGCUAAUACCGCAUACGUCCUACGGGAGAAAGCAGGGGACCUUCGGGCCUUGCGCUAUCAGAUGAGCCUAGGUCGGAUUAGCUAGUUGGUGAGGUAAUGGCUCACCAAGGCGACGAUCCGUAACUGGUCUGAGAGGAUGAUCAGUCACACUGGAACUGAGACACGGUCCAGACUCCUACGGGAGGCAGCAGUGGGGAAUAUUGGACAAUUGGCGAAAGCCUGAUCCAGCCAUGCCGCGUGUGUGAAGAAGGUCUUCGGAUUGUAAAGCACUUUAAGUUGGGAGGAAGGGCAGUAACUUAAUACGUUGCUGUUUUGACGUUACCGACAGAAUAA
rnacentral:rRNA from 1 species